ACACGUUCCUCCACCGGAGGUACUGUGCUCUAUCAACAUCCACGGCAACACUAGCAACUUUUUCGGCCAACUUUCCGGUGACCCAAAUCGUCGCGUGGGGGUACUCGAGGUGCAAUUGUGUAUGGUGUUUCCGUCCUCUCUUGUUUGCAUGGCUCUUUGACAACAAAGUAUAUGACUUAGAAUCGAGGUGUACAAUCUGAUGUCAAGGCACUCCCACAUCGGCAAGUCCUCUCGAUGCAG